GACGUGUGGGUGAGGCAGAGAAGAGUGCAACAGAGCCUCCACCAUCUGAAUGCUCUUCAAGAGGAGGAAGAGAAAAAAAAAUUGGGAGCACAGAGCAAAAUGUACUUCGCAGGCAGAAGGAACAGGCAAAGAGGGAGCUAGAGGAAAAUUUAAGCAGAUAAUUUUGUAAACUACUAUCCUCUCCAAUAGGACCAUCAAGUAGGCACAGCUAGGAAGUAAAGGAAGAGGUGACCAAGAGGAGAAGUAAAGAACCUUGUCUUUGAUAUGGAACUAAUAAUGCACAUACCUGGUCUAAGCUAUUGUUGUUCCCAGACAAAAGAAAAGAAUAACUUCUAGCCAUAUCAGCCAGCCGACGUUACUUUUUUUUUUUAAAUGAAAAUUGAAUAUGAUAAGGAAAGACAACAAUGCCUGAAGAGUAAUACUGAAGAUGAACAAAUCAUUGUCACUGGAGGAAAUGACAUAUAAUGGUUUGUAAGGAGGGCAGACCGAACAGGCGCCCGAGGUCUGCAAGCUGACCCAGCUCUUCUCCGUGGUGAAGAGUCACGCGUGGGACUGAGGUUGGAGAAAGGAGGCAGGAGAAAGGAGAGCCCGAGGGUCUGCCUCACCGCAGCCCUGCACGUGGCACUUCACCAGCACUGCCUGCUCCUCUGUCUGGCCAAGAAGAUUUGGGCCAUACCCUCUCUAAGCCUGCAGACCCAAGGGGCCCGUGCUGCUUUUCCUCUGAAUCCAGCGCACAGGGUGUACAUCCUCCCCUCUCCAACACUCCUGCUGCUGCUAGUUAAAAUAGCACGACACACACGUCGCUGCAGCUGUACCUAAUAGCUGUGCGUUUGUAUUCCUGUGAAAAGAAAAACUAGAAAAUGGCAUAACUCUUCUUCUCCCCUGCAGAAAAUUGAAAUAAUCCCACAGCCAUAACUGUGAGGAAUGGCAUUAAAAGAAAGUUGUGAUAGGUCAAGUUCACGUUCAAGGUGCUGCUUGCAGUCAGUUACCAUGCAUCAGCUGAGCCACAGCAGCCACAGUCUUAGCUCAGCUCAAGGGAAAUAGAAGGUAAUGGCACUUAACGUGGCCUGUGACAAAAGACAGUCGAGCUAAGUCACAUUACCAUGCAUUCGCCAUAGCAGAAGAACAAAAGCCUCUGUGGCUUAGCCGACAUCAUAACUUUUAAUUGGUGAAAGUUUCGAGCUGUACUUAAAUCAUUAUUUUUCAUUAACAUGCACUUGAAAGAGAAUGCCAAGAUUUUGCUUCCUUUGCGCCCCUCCAUACAUUAUGAUAUAUUGCUUAAUUGUAUAAUUACCUAUUACUCUUCAGGCUCGGGCUCUCCCCUAUUUCAGCGCACAGGACAGAUCCGUAGUGAAGAGUGAAGACUUCGGACACGGUAAAAGUUCCUGUGUCGCAGCUGGGGAGUUCUGCUGGCUUAGGAAGGUGAAAAAAUACACCCUGGUUGCUCUUCCUAGUAGCUCCAGGGUAAUUUGCACUCUUGGAAGAGUGCAAGGACUGUCACUUGUGGGUGACCCAUGUCACAUGCUGUGUAAGGACUAAGCAUUAGCAUUGAUGUGGUGACAAAAUGUAAGAAGUUGCUUUUAUUUGUCAACAUGCUAGAAGGAGGUAGAGAAAUAUUGCAAGCAAACACUGUAGUCUCAAAAUAAAUUCUUCCAUUCCCACUGCAAUAAAACUAGUAUUAAGUAUUCAUUUCUCAGACUCCACUUCCCACUUUGGUACUACAUUAGAGGUUUUUUAUUUGUCUUAUUUCCAACACAAAGCCUAUCAUUAACUACCAGUACUGGUGUGUCAGUAAUACUCCAGGGGGAAAAUCUUUGUAAACUUAGUGGGCAUAUUUCAGAAAUAAAUGUUCCAAUAGGAGGAAAGAUAAUGAGUACUCUGAUCCAAUACAUAAAGUAUAUAUGUAUAUAUUAUAGGCUGACUUUCAUUAUGAUCUGGUUUUUUGCUUUACUUAUCAGUUUUGAGAAACACAGUUUGUCUUGAGAGGCCAAUUUUCAUGUAGAGAUGAAAAAAGAUUUCUGGGUUGUGAUAUUGACUACCAGUGUACAGUAAAUAACCAAACUUUUAUAAAUAGAAAAGCUUUUGAAAAUGUACAAUAUUCACUCUAUUUAAUUAACGGUGGUUGCUAUGAUAGUUCUUUUCCUGUGGGUUUGGUUUUUGGUUUGUUUUUUUUUUUUUUUUUUUUCUUUUUUCCUUUUUCUUCAACAGCAUUAGUUAAAAAUAGGACACUUCAGAUGCUGGAACUCUUGAGUCUUUUCUGAAAUUCCCAUAUUUUUAUCUACUUUCCAUCUUUUAUUCUCAGCACCACAAGAGACAGAACAGCAGGAUUUAGCCCUGAACACAAUUUGAAAAAGAAAUACUCGGGAUUUUUCGAAGGAGACUUUAGACUAUAGGAACCUAUAUCUUAUACUGUUUUAAUUUCAUCCAGGUCUUUUAAAGUUGUAGCUUUAGGUGACAAUCCUUUUAGUCAACACCAAUUACAUAAGUCUUAUCGUUGCUCUGAUUUCAGUGAAAGAUUCCACAUUUAAUAGUUUUCUAGAGUAGGUGAAAGUAUUCAUGAAG